GUGCUUGCUUUGGUAGCACAUAUAUUAAAAUUGGAAUGAUACAGAGAAGAUUAGCAUGGCCCCUGCACAAGGAUGACAUGCAAAUUCAUGAAACACUCCAUAUUUUU
rnacentral:snRNA from 1 species